UGAGGUCAUAAACCAAAACCUGCAGAAGAAACACAGCGGAACCUGGAAAUACCAUCCAACACAAAACUGAGACUUUUAUUGUUGAGGCAAGCCGAAGUUGGUAGUCGAAGUCCCCGCCCUUUUGACUCUGGGCUCCCGAGUGGCGCAGCGAUCUAAGGCACUGCAUCUCAGUGCUAGAGGCAUCACUACAGACCCUGGUUCGUAUUCCAGGCUGUAUCACAACCGGCUGUGAUUCGGAGUCCAAUAGGGUAUGGAAAGCUAUGAAAGCCUGGUUUGCAGAUGAAGAGAGAGGUCCCAAUGAAUGUCCCAAUAGACUAAGGGUAUAUCCUGUAUGCCAUGGGUUAAAUGUGUAGGCCUACCUAUGUUAGCGAAUGUUGCAUACAAAAACCACACUUAAUCAUCACACACAAUAUAUAAACCUAUUCAAAUUAGAGCAGGCCAACCCUGCUGUAGCUCUGCUGUGUGUGCAGGGUUAUGUUUCAGCCCUGCAAUAACACACCUGAUUUAAACUUAUCAAAUCUAGUUGAUAAUCAAGUGUGCUAUUGCUGAGCUGGAAUAAAAGCCUGCUCGGCCAGUAGAUCUAUUGCUGGGCUGGAAUAAAAGUCUGCUCGGCCAGUAGAUCUAUUCCUGGGCUGGAAUAAAGGUCUGCUCAGCCAGUAGAUAUAUUGCUGAGCUGGAAUAAAAGUCUCCUCAGCCAGUAGAUCUAUUGCUGAGCUGGAAUAAAGGUCUGCUCAGCCAGUAGAUCUAUUGCUGAGCUGGAAUAAAAGUCUGCUCAGCCAGUAGAUCUAUUCCUGGGCUGGAACAAAGGUCUGCUCAGCCAGUAGAUCUAUUGCUGAGCUGUAAUAAAAGUCUGCUCAGCCAGUAGAUCUAUUGCUGAGCUGGAAUAAAAGUCUGCUCAGCCAGUAGAUCUAUUCCUGGGCUGGAACAAAGGUCUGCUCAGCCAGUAGAUCUAUUCCAUUGAUCAGUAGAGCGAGGUAGGUGUUUUGGAGUUUUUUAUUGUUUACCUGAAAUGAUGAUGUAGUAAUAACAGCCAACUUGUUCCUGCUCCACUAUCUAGUGUUGUUUAGACUACGAUGUCUAAUCUUUACAUACCAGUAGGCUUAUUUAUACAUUUUGAAAGUGAUAAU
rnacentral:lncRNA from 1 species